GUUUGUGAGGCGCAAUCAGUUAGCGCGUUGAACUGUUAACUGAAAGGUUGGUGGUUCAAGCCCACCCAGGGGCG
rnacentral:tRNA from 1 species